rnacentral:rRNA from 1 species
UACAGAGGUCCCAAGCGUUUGUUCGGAUUCAUUGGGCGUAAAGGGUGCGUAGGCGGCGCGGUAAGUCGGGUGUGAAAUCUCGGGGCUUAACUCCGAAACUGCAUUCGAUACUGCCGUGCUUGAGGACUGGAGAGGAGACUGGAAUUUACGGUGUAGCGGUGAAAUGCGUAGAUAUCGUAAGGAAGACCAGUGGCGAAGGCGGGUCUCUGGACAGUUCCUGACGCUGAGGCGCGAAAGCUAGGGGAGCAAACGGG